CCUACGGGUGGCAGCAGUGAGGAAUAUUGGGCAAUGGGCGCGAGCCUGAACCAGCCAAGUAGCGUGAAGGAUGACAGCCCUACGGGUUGUAAAGUUCUGUUAUAAAGGAAGAAAGUGAGGCACGUGUGCCUUUUUGUAUGUACUUUAUGAAUAAGGAUCGGCUAACUCCGUGCCAGCAUCCGCGGUAAGACGGAGGAAGCGAGCGUGAGCCGGAUGGAAUUGGUUGAAUGGGAGCGUAGAUGGGUUGUUAAGUCAGUUGUGACAGUUUGCGGCUCAACCGUAAAAUUGCAAUUGAUACUGGCAGUCUUGAGUACAGUUGAGGUAGGCGGAAUUCGUGGUGUAGCGGUGAACUGCUUAGAUAUCACGAAGAACUCCGAUUGCGCAGGCAGUUCACUGGACUGCACCUGACACUGAGGCUCGAAAGUGUGUGUAUCAAACAGGAUUAGAUACCCUAGUAGUC
rnacentral:rRNA from 1 species